UCGUCAGCUCGUGUUGUGAAAUGUUGGGUUAAGUCCCGCAACGAGCGCAACCCUUAUCCUUUGUUGCCAGCGGUCCGGCCGGGAACUCAAAGGAGACUGCCAGUGAUAAACUGGAGGAAGGUGGGGAUGACGUCAAGUCAUCAUGGCCCUUACGACCAGGGCUACACACGUGCUACAAUGGCGCAUACAAAGAGAAGCGACCUCGCGAGAGCAAGCGGACCUCAUAAAGUGCGUCGUAGUCCGGAUUGGAGUCUGCAACUCGACUCCAUGAAGUCGGAAUCGCUAGUAAUCGUGGAUCAGAAUGCCACGGUGAAUACGUUCCCGGGCCUUGUACACACCGCCCGUCACACCAUGGGAGUGGGUUGCAAAAGAAGUAGGUAGCUUAACCUUCGGGAGGGCGCUUACCACUUUGUGAUUCAUGACUGGGGUGAAGUCGUAACAAGGUAACCGUAGGGGAACCUGC
rnacentral:rRNA from 1 species